AUGAAGAACGUAGCGAAAUGCGAUAAGUAGUGUGAAUUGCAGAAUUCAGUGAAUCAUCGAAUCUUUGAACGCACAUUGCGCCCCUUGGUAUUCCAUGGGGCAUGCCUGUUCGAGCGUCAUCUACACCCUCAAGCUCUGCUUGGUGUUGGGCGUCUGUCCCGCCCCCGCGCGUGGACUCGCCCCAAAUCCAUUGGCAGCGUUCCUUGCCCCCUCUCGCGCAGCACAUUGCGCUUCUCGAGGGCGGCUCCGGGACGCGAUCCAGCAAGAUGACCACCGUCUUUGACCUCGGAUCAGGUAGGGAUACCCGCUGAACUUAAGCAUAUCAAUAAGCGGAGGA
rnacentral:misc_RNA from 1 species